AUUGAACGCUGGCGGCAGGCCUAACACAUGCAAGUCGAACGAGUGGCGGACGGGUGAGUAAUGUCUGGGAAACUGCCAGAUGGAGGGGGAUAACUACUGGAAACGGUAGCUAAUACCGCAUACCAUCAGAUGUGCCCAGAGGGGAUUAGCUUGUUGGUGGGGUAACGGCUCACCAGGGAGACGAGCCCUAGCUGGUCUGAGAGGAUGACCAGCAACACUGGAACUGAGACACGGUCCAGACUCCUACGGGAGGCAGCAGUGGGGAAUAUUGCACAAUGGGCGCAAGCCUGAUGCAGCCAGGACGCGUGUAUGAAGAAGGCCUUCGGUUUGUAAAGUACGAUCAGCGGGGAGGCGUUACCCGCAGAAGAAGCACAGGCUAACUCCGUGGCAGCAGCCGCGGUAAUUC
rnacentral:rRNA from 1 species